GACGAACGCUGGCGGCGUGCUUAACACAUGCAAGUCGAACGGAAAGGCCCUGCUUUUGUGGGGUGCUCGAGUGGCGAACGGGUGAGUAACACGUUAGUAACCUGCCCUUGACUUUGGGAUAACUUCAGGAAACUGGGGCUAAUACCGGAUAGGAGCUCCUGCUGCAUGGUGGGGGUUGGAAAGUUUCGGCGGUUGGGGAUGGACUCGCGGCUUAUCAGCUUGUUGGUGGGGUAGUGGCUUACCAAGGCUUUGACGGGUAGCCGGCCUGAGAGGGUGACCGGCCACAGUGGGACUGAGAUACGGCCCAGACUCCGAAGGGAGGCAGAAGUGGGGAAUAUUGCACAAUGGGCGGAAGACUGAUGCAGCAACGCCGAGGGCGGGAUGACGGCCUUAGGGUUGUAAACCGCGUUCGCCUGUGACGAAGAGUGAGUGACGGUAAUGGGUAAAGAAGCACCGGCUAACUACGUG
rnacentral:rRNA from 1 species